GAUGAAGAACGUAGCGAAAUGCGAUACGUAAUGUGAAUUGCAGAAUUCAGUGAAUCAUCGAGUCUUUGAACGCACAUUGCGCCCCCUGGUAUUCCGGGGGGCAUGCCUGUCCGAGCGUCAUUGCUGCCCUCAAGCACGGCUUGUGUGUUGGGCCUCCGUCCUCCUCCCGGGGGACGGGCCCCAAAGGCAGCGGCGGCACCGCGUCCGGUCCUCGAGCGUAUGGGGCUUCGUCACCCGCUCUUGUAGGCCCGGCCGGCGCUUGCCGACACAUCAAUCUUUUUUCCAGGUUGACCUCGGAUCAGGUAGGGAUACCCGCUGAACUUAAGCAUAUCAAUAAGCGGAGGA
rnacentral:misc_RNA from 1 species